UUAUGAGAUGGGUAAGUGGGGAAGAUAACUGUGGGGCUUUCGUUUUGUUUGUUAUCUUCCCUACUCCACCCAUUCCAUAG
rnacentral:sRNA from 1 species